GUUCAGAGCCAGCUGAAAAGGGGCGUGGGUUCGUACGCUCUGACGCUAUUGCCGAUCUAAACUAAGAAUUUCAGAGAGUUGAUUACUAAAGGAACAGAGUUUAUUGCUGAGUUGAUAGGGGUUGGAACCGUGGCUGCAAGUACUGCUGCUUCUGUUUUGAGUAGUAUCCUUAACAAUUUCCUGGUUGUUGACAGAUGGGGGAAUCAAAAUCUUGUAGAGGAAGGCUUGAUUAACUCCACAACAGAUGGCUUCUGCUUUUAAGUCAACCAUCAAGGGCCAAAAUUUCCGAUUACAAAUUUCUGUAAAUUCAGAUAGGUCUUGUUGUAAUCUCACACCCUCUCUCCACUUUUAGUUUUGGUUUUCAUGAUGUCAGAGCCCUGCCUGGCCUGCAUAUGGGAGGCAUUCGAUAGAGGAUUUAAUAGACAAGUGACAUUUGUUUUAGCAAUUCAAAUUUUUUUAUGAA